GUUCAGUCGGUUAGAAUACCGGCCUGUCACGCCGGGGGUCGCGGGUUCGAGUCCCGUCCGCUCCGCCA
rnacentral:tRNA from 7 species